GGAUGAACGCUGGCGGCGUGCUUAACACAUGCAAGUCGAACGGAAAGGCCCUGCUUUUGUGAGGUGCUCGAGUGGCGAACGGGUGAGUAACACGUGAGUAACCUGCCCUUGACUUUGGGAUAACUUCAGGAAACUGGGGCUAAUACCGGAUAGGAGCUCCUGCUGCAUGGUGGGGGUUGGAAAGUUUCGGCGGUUGGGGAUGGACUCGCGGCUUAUCAGCUUGUUGGUGGGGUAGUGGCUUACCAAGGCUUUGACGGGUAGCCGGCCUGAGAGGGUGACCGGCCACAUUGGGACUGAGAUACGGCCCAGACUCCUACGGGAGGCAGCAGUGGGGAAUAUUGCACAAUGGGCGGAAGCCUGAUGCAGCAACGCCGCGUGCGGGAUGACGGCCUUCGGGUUGUAAACCGCCUUCGCCUGUGACGAAGCGUGAGUGACGGUAAUGGGUAAAGAAGCACCGGCUAACUACGUG
rnacentral:rRNA from 1 species